rnacentral:rRNA from 1 species
UACGGAGGGUGCAAGCAUUAAUCGGAUUUAUUGGGCGUAAAGGGCGCGUAGGCGGCUGUCCAAGUCAGGUGUGAAAGCCCGGGGCUCAACCCCGGAACUGCGUCCGAUACUGGAAGGCUUGAAUCCGGGAGAGGGAUGCGGAAUUCCAGGUGUAGCGGUGAAAUGCGUAGAUAUCUGGAGGAACACCGGUGGCGAAGGCAGCCCCCUGGGCCAACACUGACGCUCAGGCACGAAAGCGUGGGGAGCAAACAGG